GCUGUAAACGCCGUACAGGGACCCUCAUCUGGGUACUUGUGCUGGUCUGAAUCAGGAACCGUGUUCUGAUCGGACAACUGUGCCACUUUCAGAUGUCGGACAGGGUUGUUUAUGCCGAAGAUGAAGAGAAGAUGUUGCAUGUGGUUCCAGUCCAAUCAUCUGGGCAGAGGCAGAUCCCGUUUUGUAAGAGACAGAAGACCACACUGAGAAUGAUGUAGAGUGUUUUGUCACGGGUGAUGAGCACAAAGUAACCAAUGACCCAGGACAAACCGAGUACCACAGCCAGAGAGAAACUACUCAAAAUCUU